UUCGAUGAUGAUUUGCCUAAUUGUGAGGUGUAGACAACUCCAAGUUCCUGCUUGCCAGGGAGAACCUACUUGGGUCCUACAUUCAAAUGAGUUAUAUGGGCACUUUCUGAGGU
rfam:Zea mays cultivar B73 B73V4_ctg91, whole genome shotgun sequence.